ensembl:misc_RNA Metazoa_SRP Metazoan signal recognition particle RNA
GCUGGGCAUGGUGGUGUGCGCCUGUACUCCCAGCUACUCGGGAGGCUGAGGCAGAAGAAUCGCUUGAACCCAGGGGACGGGGUUGCAGUGAGCCGAGAUCGUGCCACUGCACUCCAGCCUGGGUGACAGAGCGAGACUCUGUCUCAA